CGCUCAAGAUUCACCUUCACCUGUAACCCACCACCAUGACCAAGGAAGACACGCUGCUGGAGGUGUAAUGGAUAUUAAUACUGCUCUACAAGAGACUGAAGACCGCCCUCAGCCAUGAUGGCCUAGCAGGUGGAACCUGCAAAGCUGCCAAAGCCUUAGACAAGGGCCAAGCCCAUCUUUGCGUGCUUGCAUCCAAAUGUGAAGAGCCUAUGUAUGUCAAGCUAGGGGUGGCCCUUUGUGCCGAACACCAAAUCAACCCAAUUAAGGUUGAUGACCUUAAGAAACCAGAGACAUGGCUAAGCCUUUGUAAAACUGAUAGACAAGGAAAACUUUGUAAAGUGGUUGGUUGCAGUUGUGUCACAGUGAAGGGCUACAGCAAAGAAUUUCAGGCCAAGGAUGUGACUGUGUACUUCAAAUGCAAGAAAUU
rnacentral:lncRNA from 1 species